GGCGGUGAUGACGUAAGUUGUUGUCCCAUAACGACAAAAUCGGAUUGCAAAUCCGUCUAGCCCGGUUCGACUCCGGGUCGCGCCUCCA
rnacentral:tRNA from 1 species